UAAACUAUGGUUUGAUCAUGUGGUCGCACUGUGUUCAGUCAGAUGUCUGUUAGAAGGAGGAAGUCAGUUCAGUCUCAAAGAUUUAUCACAGCUCUGAGGAUGUCGAGGAUUGUUUCCUGUCUGUUCUGUGUCUUAAGACUGUGUGUUGGAACUGAGGCUUUGACAGAGACACUGGUAGAACUCGGACACAAUGCAACCCUGAACUGUUCUCUAAAUGUAACUAAUGUACAUUGGUACAUUCAGCACCACCCACAGCCUCCACUGGUCCUACUCCGCUCUUUCAUUAGUGGUAGUCCUUUUGCUUUUUAUUAUAAUAAUAAUACUACUUUUAGACAGAAAUAUUCAUUAGAAACAGGAAAUAGAUUGUUAAUACAGAAUGUAACAGUAGAUGAUUGUGGAGUGUACUACUGUACAAAGAAAGAAAAGGAUUUUAUCCUUUUCAGUAACGGCACCAGACUCAUGACAACUGGUCUUGAAUCAAUCAAUGAAACAACAAACACAAGUUUGAAGCUCCUUGAUCCUAAAGCUUCAGAGCAACCCAGAGACUUCAACACAACAUGGCUAAAGGGUCUUCUCAUUGGAUCCGGGGUCUUAAAUGCAGUGCUCAUUUUAUUGCUGUCAGCCAUUUCAGUGCUGUGGAAGAGAGCUGCUUGCCAGAAGAACCAUGACUCUCCUCCAACCCCUGAACCACCUGAAAGGGCAGACAGGCCAGAGUAUGAAGUGAUACAGCUGGUUCAGACACCAAGAGGACCAAGGCCCAACCACAUAGCCUCAACCAUUUACUCCAGAGUCCAAUUUCCAAAUCCUGAACUCUCAACUACUGCUUAAUAAGGUGCCACAUCUUGACUUUGGUGGAUAAUGUGAAUCUACUCUGAAUAUUCCUAUAUUUGUAUAAUGUGUAUAAUGCUGCUCUUCGUCACUAUCGUCUAUAUUCCAGUCAGCAAUAUCUUUGAAGGAACUUGUUACCUUUGUGUCUUGUUUCAUGUUUUUCAUUGUUCAUUGCUGGAAAUACAUGUUCGUUAGUGCCUGUCUUGAAAGUAAAUUGUUGCUUUUUUUUGUGAAGCAGUUAGGAAGAGGUUUGUGUAUUUCUGUAGAAAAAGCCCCCAAGCAUUUUGUAGUGUAUUGAUGCAGCAUCAACCACACAUCCUGUAUGAGAGCUUAAAGCUUACUGAGCAGCACGCAUGUCCCAAUUACUGUACAAUUUACCUUUUUUAAUAAUGACUUUUUCAAACAUUAAACUACAGUUUUGAAUUUGAAGUUCAUUAAAAAGCCUACUGCAUGUGCCCCAUAACACCUUUGUGAGUAGAAUGUAGUGGUUUGUAUAUUUUUGUUGUUUAAGUUCAGACCACUGUAAAAAAGAUAAUGUCAGUGUAUUGCACUUUUUUCAAACAUUAUCUCAGUGUUUACUCUUCAUGGAAAUAAAAUCUCUGUUUUGGAAUCAA